rnacentral:SRP_RNA from 13 species
CGGCGUCGUCGUCGAGGGACGACAUCUUGAAGCGGGUCAGGUCCGGCCGGAAGGAGAUCUUGGUGUAG